GGGUCGGUAGCUCAAUUGGUGGAGCAAGAAGCUCUUAACUUCGAGGAUCUGGGUUCGACUCCCAGCCGACCCA
rfam:Candidatus Magasanikbacteria bacterium RIFCSPHIGHO2_02_FTLL_45_10 rifcsphigho2_02_scaffold_13156, whole genome shotgun sequence.